CCGGAUGUAGUGUAGUGGCAGCAUGCUUGCCUUGGGAGCAAGUGGUCGCAGGUUCGAGUCCUGCCAUUCGGAUUU
rnacentral:tRNA from 1 species